rnacentral:rRNA from 1 species
UACAGAGGGGGCAAGCGUUGUUCGGAAUUACUGGGCGUAAAGGGCGCGUAGGCGGCCUUCUAAGUCGAACGUGAAAUCCCCGGGCUCAACCCGGGAACUGCGUCCGAUACUGGAAGGCUUGAAUCCGGGAGAGGGAUGCGGAAUUCCAGGUGUAGCGGUGAAAUGCGUAGAUAUCUGGAGGAACACCGGUGGCGAAGGCGGCAUCCUGGACCGGCAUUGACGCUGAGACGCGAAAGCGUGGGGAGCAAACGGG